rnacentral:rRNA from 1 species
GAUGAACGCUGGCGGCGUGCUUAACACAUGCAAGUCGAACGGGAAACUUUUCAUUGAAGCUUCGGCAGAUUUGGUCUGUUUCUAGUGGCGGACGGGUGAGUAACGCGUGGGUAACCUGCCUUAUACAGGGGGAUAACAACCAGAAAUGGUUGCUAAUACCGCAUAAGCGCACAGGACCGCAUGGUCCGGUGUGAAAAACUCCGGUGGUAUAAGAUGGACCCGCGUUGGAUUAGCUAGUUGGCAGGGUAACGGCCUACCAAGGCGACGAUCCAUAGCCGGCCUGGGAGGGUGGACGGCCACAUUGGGGAUGGGACACGGCCCAGAAUCCUACGGGAGGCAGCAGUGGGGGAUAUUGCAAAAUGGGGGAAAACCUGAUGCAGCGACGCCGGGUGAAGGAAGAAGUAUCUCGGUAUGUAAACUUCUAUCAGCAGGGAAGAUAGUGACGGUACCUGAAUAAGAAGCCCCGGCUAACUACGUG